AGGUGUAUGCAGAAUUUCACCGGAUUACAAACCAGAACCUACCCAAUGUAUUCUACACUAAGCUUGACCGCCAUGGUGAACAGGAUUGGACUGUUUGAGAUAAGGAUGAGUCUGAUGAGCAUCAGCUUGGAGAUGUUGCAGUUGCCCUCCUUACAGUCAUCCUGUGAUGAAAACGCAAGUCCAGUUCAUUACUCGCCUGUGAAAAUCUCUGUUGUCAUCGAAAAAAAUUGGAGCUCUCCCUCAGUCCAGCCACUACUGCAGAGAAACAGGACAGCUUAAUUAGAUAACUCAGCACAGCUGUACCAACCAACUCACCUGGCGCUGCUGCUGUGAGCUCUGCCCUCUCCA